rnacentral:tRNA from 1 species
GGUGGCGUGCCCGAGUGGCUAAAGGGGGCAGACUGUAAAUCUGCUGGCAGACGCCUACGGUGGUUCGAAUCCAUCCGCCACCA